UCAAUUUUACAACUCGCGCCGCCUCUCGCUCGCUGGGUGGGAGGGACUGGGAGCGAGGGAGACCGACUGAAAACAGCCUCCGCUCUGAAGAAACGCCGUAGCAGAGGAAGGAGGAAAAUGUUGCCGCAGAGGAUGAAGAGGGCCGUCGCCGACAACCCCAAGAAGCUGGCCAACCUGAUCGACCUCGUGAACCUGCCCUCGACCGUGCGCGACUUCGUGGGUCAGUCCCAGACCUCCCGCCUCGGCUGCUUCAUGCGCGUCUGGUCCUACAUCAAGUCCAACAACCUCCAGGAUCCUAACAACAAGAACCUGGUGAACUGUGACGAGAAGUUGAAAAGUAUAUUGUUAGGCAAGCCACAAGUUGAACUCGCUGAGCUUCCAGCCUUGAUCCAACUGCACUUUCCGAAAGAGCCCAAAUGAGUUAAUGAGGUUUAUUGUAAAGAUCCAAAUUGAUCACCUGUGUAAUUGCCUCCUCUGUGGGCAUUUGCCAUUUCAUUCUGUCAGUGAUAUUUAUGUAUGCAUGAUGAAGUGGCUAUAUCUUCCAAUUGGCUUGAUUUUGAUCAUCUGGAAACUGAAGUUCCCUUAAUUGGGGGAACUCUUGUUUUCAUAGCUAGCUUGACUGAAUAUGAUGGCCCUGUUAAGAAACAUGCUUUUUGAAGAGGAAAUUUUUGUGUUUCUAUGAAGACUCCUUGUAUUUGUUAUUGACUUCCUUGUUAAGUCUCUGCUACUUAUAACUUGAGAUUUUCGAGAAAAGAUAAAUAUGAAGCUGAGAUGUGCACAGGGUUCAAA